UUAAACCGGGUGUUAUCAGCUUAAUUGUGACCCCCUAAGCAUUGCUGGUAAUUUGAGCAUCAUAGAAAUGUGAUGUCUUAGCAGGGUUAUAAAGUAGGGUAAGAUCUCAAAGCAAAGAAGGUUUCUUUUGAGAGAUUUCUCUUAAAUAAACUUUUUUUUUUUGCUUUUAAGAUCAUAACCUCCGUUAUCGCUCUGCUGGGCUGCCGCACCUACUAUGUUCAAACCACCAGUAAUGUCUGGACCACGGCUACAGCUGAGAAUCGGGACCCGACCCAACCUCGCUCUAUGACUUCAUCUAAAUCUUCCCAGGUUGAGUCAAAAACAUCUUCAGUUUUUUCUUUACUUUCUCAUAUGUGUGCUUCGUUUGGUGGAAGUUUCAUCAGAAGCUCGCAUGCUUAGGCCAAUCUUCACUCGUGAACAAUUCCACAUGAGACCGUGAGAAAUAUUGAGAGUAUGAUGAAUCAAAUACACUGCCAAAUUGGCAUAUUUCGGUUACUUGCAUGCUAUGGAGGAUUGAUAUAAUCCGUUUGAUGCUUCUUUUGUUUCACUUUGUUUUUGAUCUUUCAGUCUUUUCUUUUAAUCGUUUUGUUAAUCUUUAUUGUUUUGUAUUACUAUUCAUUCAACGUUGUUCAAGCUUCUUACUUAUGAUUCGUGCUAUAUAAUGUCUUGAAUAGGCGUCCAAGC
rnacentral:lncRNA from 1 species